GUUAAAAUCAGACCGAUUCGGAAUGGAAAC
rnacentral:other from 20 species